rnacentral:rRNA from 1 species
AGAGUUUGAUCAUGGCUCAGGAUGAACGCUAGCUACAGGCUUAGCACAUGCAAGUCGAGGGGAAACGACAUCGAAAGCUUGCUUUUGAUGGGCGUCGACCGGCGCACGGGUGAGUAACGCGUAUCCAACCUGCCCACCACUUGGGGAUAACCUUGCGAAAGUAAGACUAAUACCCAAUGACGUCUCUAGAAGACAUCUGAAAGAGAUUAAAGAUUUAUCGGUGAUGGAUGGGGAUGCGUCUGAUUAGCUUGUUGGCGGGUAACGGCCACCAAGGCGACGAUCGAGUAGGGGUUCUGAGAGGAAGGUCCCCCANAUUGGAACUGAGACACGGUCCAAACGUCCUACGGGAGGCA